rnacentral:rRNA from 1 species
GGGUUGUGAGGUUAAGCGACUAAGCGUACACGGUGGAUGCCCUGGCAGUCAGAGGCGAUGAAGGGCGUGCUAAUCUGCGAUAAGCGCCGGUAAGGUGAUAUGAACCGUUAUAACCGGCGAUACCCGAAUGGGGAAACCCAGUGUGAUUCGUCACACUAUCAUUAACUGAAUCCAUAGGUUAAUGAGGCGAACCGGGGGAACUGAAACAUCUAAGUACCCCGAGGAAAAGAAAUCAACCGAGAUUCCCCCAGUAGCGGCGAGCGAACGGGGAGGAGCCCAGAGCCUGAAUCAGCAUGUGUGUUAGUGGAAGUGUCUGGAAAGGCGCGCGAUACAGGGUGACAGCCCCGUACACAAAAGCGCAUGUGCUGUGAGCUCGAUGAGUAGGGCGGGACACGUGGUAUCCUGUCUGAAUAUGGGGGGACCAUCCUCCAAGGCUAAAUACUCCUGACUGACCGAUAGUGAACCAGUACCGUGAGGGAAAGGCGAAAAGAACCCCGGCGAGGGGAGUGAAAAAGAACCUGAAACCGUGUACGUACAAGCAGUGGGAGCCCCACCACCAAAGCAUUCUCUGGUGUUGAAGGCCCUGCAAAGCAGCAUCGCGGUGGCGGAGCGUCGUUUGCGACGCCCAACACACAAAACAAGCGGUGAGUGCUUUGGGGUGGGGUGACUGCGUACCUUUUGUAUAAUGGGUCAGCGACUUAUAUUCUGUAGCAAGGUUAACCG